GUGGGGAAUAUUGCGCAAUGGACGAAAGUCUGACGCAGCGACGCCGCGUGUGGGAUGACGGUCUUCGGAUUGUAAACCACUGUCGGGAGGGACGAAUACGCCGCAAGGCGGGUGACGGUACCUCCAAAGGAAGCACCGGCUAACUCCGUGCCAGCAGCCGCGGUAAUACGGAGGGUGCGAGCGUUGUCCGGAAUCACUGGGCGUAAAGGGCGCGUAGGCGGCCUGAUAAGUAGGGGGUGAAAUCCUGCGGCUUAACCGCAGGGCUGCCUUCUAAACUGUCAGGCUCGAGCACAGUAGAGGCAGGUGGAAUUCCCGGUGUAGCGGUGGAAUGCGUAGAGAUCGGGAAGAACAUCAGUGGCGAAGGCGGCCUGCUGGGCUGUUGCUGACGCUGAGGCGCGACAGCGUGGGGAGCAAACAGGAUUAGAUACCCGUGUAGUCC
rnacentral:rRNA from 1 species